rnacentral:rRNA from 1 species
UAAGGAAUAUUGCGCAAUGGGCGAAAGCCUGACGCAGCGACGCCGCGUGGGGGAUGAAGGUCUUCGGAUUGUAAACCCCUUUCGGGAGGGAAGAUGGAACGAGCAAUCGUUCGGACGGUACCUCCAGAAGCAGCCACGGCCAACUUCGUGCCAGCAGCCGCGGUAAUACGAAGGUGGCAAGCGUUGUUCGGAUUCACUGGGCGUACAGGGUGUGUAGGCGGUUUGGUAAGCCUUCUGUUAAAGCUUCGGGCCCAACCCGGAAAGCGCAGGGGGUACUGCCAGGCUAGAGGGCGGGAGAGGAGCGCGGAAUUCCCGGUGUAGCGGUGAAAUGCGUAGAGAUCGGGAGGAAGGCCGGUGGCGAAGGCGGCGCUCUGGAACGUACCUGACGCUGAGACACGAAAGCGUGGGGAGCAAACAG